AUUUUUUUUACUGAGAGCUUAUGACUUCCAGAAAGUGCUAAAGGUGGGAGGUGGGCCAGGGCCUGGACGGGGCUUUUGUCUGAUGCUCUGGGAUUCUGGCCAGACCCACCCCAGGGCACAUGUCCUGCGGGGGCGUCCCAGCUGUGUUUUUUGAUGUCUCCUCCCUGGUUAAGAGUAGCUUGGAGAGGACCCUCAGGCCUCUGAGGGCACCAGGCCCUGGAGAAGAGGUGCAAUUCAGGGUGUGUGUGUGUGUGUGUUUUUUCCUUUAAAGAAGAAACGCUGCUAAGAUCCCACGUGGCUCCCACGUGUUGGGGUGUCUGUCCUGUCAUCCUGACUGUCUCGUUAUUGUGAAGUCUUUCGUAGACACCCCAGAGCACACACAUCCCCUUAGUCCACCGGUUAGAUGUCUCUCUUUAGAAAAAUCAGGGGUGAGUAGCUGUGUUUCCUUAGGACUGGGGUGGGGGAUGGAGGGCAGCUCCAAGGCUGAGCUGGGGCUCUGGCCCCAGGGGAGGUCCCCAGCUCCUGAGCACUUCUGAGGGGGUGGGUUCCACCCCCAGGAGGGCGGGGGUGGGUGGGGCAGGAGUGGAGGCAGCCUGCAGAGGAAGGGUGCGGGAGACUGAGCCGGCCGUGGCUUGCUUGGAGGGGCUAGGGUACCCGCCUGGUCUCGGCUGGCUCCAGCUGCGCUGCAGGUGCCCCUGGGCUCAGGUAGUUAGUUGUUCAGCCACUAAUGCCUUUUAUCCCCCAUAUGGGCGCUGAGCUGUGGCUGUUCCUGGACACUGUGCUGUCCCCGUCCUGAGCAACUAUGCCCCCGCCCCAGUAGGUUCAAGAGGUGGUUUUAUGUGGAACGAGGUACCUUGUCUGGCGAAGAAGUGGGGCUGGGCAGGCUUGACUGCUCCUGGCUGACCCUGAGCGCUCGCAGUUGGAGGGAAGCAGACAGACUUGACUUUUUGCAAGUCCGCGUGUUGCUGAAGGGACAUGUGUAUUGGAGCCCAGAAGAGGGGCUGUGUGGCCUGGGAAUACCAUGUGGAAGGUUGGGCUUCAAGUUAACGGGAUCAGACACCAGUCAAGCAGCCUCAGGUCAUCUUGCGACUCCACUGAGCAGCCUUUCCUGCUGUCACAUGGGUUCAGAGCAGCUGAGCAGGGAACACAUCCUAGGCAGGUCUGACGUGAAACCUCCCCUUACCCUGAACCGUGUGACUCUGCAAGCAGACACCUCGAGGCAGGUGUUCUAGGCAAAGGGAUGGGCAUGAGCGAAGGCUCCAGGGCCCACAGAGCAGGGAGUGUGGAGAAGGUGGAAGAGCUGAGCUCAGAGGCAGAGAAGCUCCUUGCAGGGAGCACUGGGAGAUGGCCUGGCCCGUCCCAGGCUCCUGGAGGCCCCACCUGCCGAUCCCAGGCACUUGACCUUGUUCCUGUGGGUGACAGAGAUGAGAACCAGGGAAGCUGUGAUCCACUGGCCAGGACAAGUCAACAUGGGUGGGGUUGGGCAAAGGGCCCUUCCUUCCUCCCCAACCCUGUGGUCUGGGGCCAUGGCCUCAGGCUUGUGUCUAUCACAAAAGCACAAACUUGCCCUAACCCACAUGGGCCUGGCUGAGGGGAAAGUGGGGACCCAGGUCCCUGAGCUGUCUCUGCUGGGCUCCGUAGAGCGGUGGUGGGCAGGCACCUUGGCAUCCGUGCAGACGGCCCAGUCUGGCCAAAUCCUCUUCCUCUCCUCUGCUCUACCUUCUCCGGCACCAGGCAGCCCCUUAAAGGAGGACAAAGUGUGUAAAGCCCGUCUGCUGGCUUCCCCCAAAUCCUCAGCUCAGAGCCUUCCGCUUCCAGGGCCAACCCCAGCCCAGUUUGCUGCCUUGUGUAAGGGCUUGGGGUCUUAGAAGCUGCUCUUUAGCCCAGAUACACAUACUCUUUUUUGUCUUUGUGCAAUAAUCAGUGUUCCUGGCAGAGCCUGGGCCAAGCUGCAGCCUACUGAGGAGGCAGAGGCCACCUCCUCCAGAAAGCCCUCGGCCUGGGCCGCCGCCGUGACUCUAGCACUCUCAGUUGCUGUACAGUUUCUGUGGUGUGAAUGAACUUCCCUCCUAGUUGCUGAUGGCGCUGGUACCUGCUGGCCCAGAUGGCCCGGGUGUAGAGAAACCAAGCGGCAGCCACCACCAGUGUUGUUUUGAAUAAAAGCCCAG
rnacentral:lncRNA from 1 species